GAAAUGGGCAUUGAAAGCCAUGUAUCAGUGUUUGCAGAUGACACAAAACUUUGUAAAGUAAUAAAAUGUGAGCAGCAUAUUGCCUUGCUGCAGAGGGAUUUGGAUAGAUUGGGGGGACUGAGCACUAAAAUGGCAGAUGAAAUUUAAUGUAGAGAAAUGCAAAGUUAUGCACUUCGGGGGUUAAGAAUGCACAAGCAAUUUACACCCUAAAUGGUAGUGAACUAGGGAUAACCACACACGAGAAGGAUUUGGGAAUUGUUAUAGA